GCAAUCGUCAUCGUCGCUGGAGCAUCUUGAGCGAUAACGACAUCCUGGAUUCGUAAGGAUCUGCUUGAGCUUGCGGCUACACAGCGGGUGCGGUUUCAGUGGUUGCAGUUUCGGUGGGCGAGGAUGCCGUACCGGAGGAUCCGGUUCGGGCCGAGCAAGGUUGGCUCGAAGAUCUGUAGCAGAAUGCGGCCGACCUUGACUUCCUGGUAUUUCGGUGAGU